CCCGCACAAGCGGUGGAGUAUGUGGUUUAAUUCGAUGCAACGCGAAGAACCUUACCUGGGUUGGAAACCCCUGGAAUCCUGCAGAGAUGUGGGAGUGCUCUUUUAGAGAAUCAGGUGUCCAGGUGCUGCAUGGUUGUCGUCAGCUCGUGUCGUGAGAUGUUGGGUUAAGUCCCGCAACGAGCGCAACCCCUGUUGUUAGUUGCCGGCGAUUCGGUCGGGCACUCUAACGAGACUGCCGGUGGUAAGCCGGAGGAAGGAGGGGACGACGUCUGGUCAGCAUGGCCCUUACGGCCUGGGCGACACACGUGCUACAAUGCCCACUACAAAGCGAUGCCACCCGGCAACGGGGAGCUAAUCGCAAAAAGGUGGGCCCAGUUCGGAUUGGGGUCUGCAACCCGACCCCAUGAAGCCGGAAUCGCUAGUAAUCGCGGAUCAGCCAUGCCGCGGUGAAUACGUUCCCGGGCCUU
rnacentral:rRNA from 1 species